rnacentral:rRNA from 1 species
UUCCAGCUCCAAUAGCGUAUAUUAAAGUUGUUGCAGUUAAAAAGCUCGUAGUUGAAUUUCUGGCUGGCUCUACUUUAGGCUUCGGUCAGAGUAGAGGCAGUCAUCCGUCUGCAAACCAUUUUUGGCCUUAACUGGUCAACUUGGGGAGUAGGCAUUUUACUUUGAAGAAAUUAGAGUGUUUCAGGCAGGCAAUUGCCCGAAUACAUUAGCAUGGAAUAAUGGAAUAGGACUUAGUCCAUUUGAUUGGUUAUUGGAUUGAGUAAUGAUUAAUAGGGACAGUUGGGGGCAUUAGUAUUUAAUUGUCAGAGGUGAAAUUCUUGGAUUUAUUAAAGACUAACUUAUGCGAAAGCAUUUGCCAAGGAUGUUUUCAUCA